UGGGGAAUUUUCCGCAAUGGGAGAAAGCCUGACGGAGCAAUGCCGCGUGGAGGUGGAAGGCCUACGGGUCGUCAACUUCUUUUCUCGGAGAAGAAACAAUGACGGUAUCUGAGGAAUAAGCAUCGGCUAACUCUGUGCCA
rnacentral:rRNA from 1 species